GCAAGUCGAACGUGAAAACCUUCGGGUGAGUAGCGUGGCGGACGGGCGAGUAACACGUAAUCAAGCUACCUGCCAGACGGGGACAACUUUGGGAAACCGAUGGUAAGACCCGAUGGUCUCACGACAUCGCAUGGUGAUGUGAGUAAAUGGACGGGACCCUCCGGGGCCGUCUGCUGGCAGAGGUGAUUGCGGCCCAUCAGCUUGUUGGUAGGGUAAUGGCCUACCAAGGCUACGACGGGUAGCCGGCCUAAGAGGGUGGUC
rnacentral:rRNA from 1 species